rnacentral:rRNA from 1 species
GACGAACGCUGGCGGCGUGCUUAACACAUGCAAGUCGAACGGAAAGGCCCUGCUUUUGUGGGGUUCUCGAGUGGCGAACGGGUGAGUAACACGUGAGUAACCUGCCCUUGACUUUGGGAUAACUUCAGGAAACUGGGGCUAAUACCGGAUAGGAGCUCCUGCUGCAUGGUGGGGGUUGGAAAGUUUCGGCGGUUGGGGAUGGACUCGCGGCUUAUCAGCUUGUUGGUGGGGUAGUGGCUUACCAAGCCUUUGACGGGUAGCCGGCCUGAGAGGGUGACCGGCCACAUGGGGACUGAGAUACGGACCAGACUCCUACGGGCGGCAGCAGUGGGGAAUAUUGCACAAUGGGCGGAAGCCUGAUGCAGCAGCGCCGCGUGCGGGAUGACGGCCUUCGGGUUGUAAACAGCUUUCGCCUGUGACGAAGAGUGAGUGACGGUAAUGGGUAAAGAAGCACCGGCUAACUACGUG